rnacentral:rRNA from 1 species
CCUGACGUAGAUGCUAGUCUCUAAGAUUAAGCCAUGCAUGUUAUGUGAACCCGCACGGGGGAACGACGAACGGCUCAGUAAUGUUGCGCUCAUCUGCUCUAUGCGUACAAAAUAACCACGGUAACCUGUGGCUAAAAGCGUAGAAUGAGGCGCAACCCUAUUAGUUUGUUGGUAGUGUAAAGGACUACCAAGACUGUGAUGGGUAACGGGAAAUCAGGGUUUGAUUCCGGAGAGGGA